UUGACGCUACAAACGUUUCGAAGCAUUCUUUGAUUGGUCAAUUCAUAAAAACGAUUUGUUUCGAUUGGUCAAUCAAACACUUCGAAGCAUUUGUAGCGUCAAGUGGACCGCAGCAAUAGUUAUGCGUUGAUGACGUAGAACACGUACAUUGGUUACCAGUUAGUUCCCCGUUUCAAAGCUAACAUAAGGCGACUGCGCAUUGGUACACGCCAUGGAAGAUGGCGUGUCGACACGCGCGCCGGAAACAGAAAUGGGAUCAACCCUUUCAAAGGACUUGGGGAGUCGAUUUUGUAUUUCUGAAGAAAGUGAAAAUAUGAAAAGUGAAUAGCAUUGUCUCCAUUGAUUAGUGUAUAUUUUUAGAAUUAACAAUAUACAAUUACUGUUGCUUACUUUUUACAUUUUCACUUCUUUAGAAAUACAGAAUUGACCCCCCCCCUUGAUCCUUACCGGAAAUACGACGUAACAAUGUUCUAGAAUUUUUGGCAGUUAGUCCAUGUGCCGGCCGGCAAAGCGAGGGGAGUGAAAUGUGGUACGACACUUUCCUUCGAGCCUUCGAGAACAUUCGACUGUGGUCAUUUGCGUCAAGUCUGUGGUCAAGUUGCGUCGAUUUUGUGCUAAGUCUGUACUCUUAUUAACGUAAUUAUUUAACUUCCGAAUACGAUCGUCAUUCUGAACAAGUCACGGCAACUGGAAAUACAGAAGAUACAACCAUAGAACGAUUCUUGUGCAAAUGGAAGGAGCCAGAGCUUUUGCAGCUGCUGAUGUGAUAACUGGUUGUCUGGAACAUAGACACUCUUAUGUUAGAUGUAAUGCAGUGCUUGCCAUUUUUACCAUAUACAGAAAUUUUGAAUUCCUUAUAUUGGAUGCUCUGGAUCUGAUUGCAAAAUAUCUAGAAAGAAAGCAAGAUAUGUCAUACAGAAGAAAUGCAUUCUUGAUGCUGUGCAUGCCAAUCAAACCAAAGUUCUUGCAUGUUUAGCCACGUGUCUCAAUCAAGUGCCAAAUUUCGAUGAUUUAUUACAGUUGGUCAUUGUUGAAUUAAUAUAUAAGGUUUGUCAACACAUUUUAUUAGAUCUAUUUACAGUUUGCUAAAUUCACCUAGCGCUGUGGUGUGUUAUGAAGCAGCUGGCACAUUGGUGACUAAUGCGUCAACCGCGAUUAAAGCCAGCUAUCGAAUUGGCCGUCAAGGAAAGUGACAACAAUGUUAAACUUUUAUUCAUUGUUGUACAAUAUUGUACUAAAUUGGUUAAUUGUGAUGAAAGAUAGUCCCGUGCAUGAACGGGUGCUUCAAGAUCUUGUAAUGGAUAUACUCCACGUUUUAGAAUCACCAGCCUUGGAAGUUAGGAUAAAAACCUUGGCUCUAGCCAUGGACCUAAUUACAACUUGCACAACCAAGGGAUGGUUCGGUUUUUGAAGAAAGAAGUUCUUAGGAGAGCUGGUGGAGAGCACGAGAAUGCUGGCAAAUACCGUCAGCUUUUUAUACGAACUCUUCAGACUUGUUCCAUGAAGUUUGCGGAUGUUGCCGUUACUGUCAUUCCAGUAUCGACCAAUUUUCUAUUUAAGAAUAAUGACCCAGCUGUUACAGACUUUGUAUUUAUCCGUGAAGCUAUUCCCAGAUUCGAGAAUCUGAGACCGUUGAUCAUUGAGAAAUUACUGGAGGUGUUUCCACAUAUACGAUCUGUAAAAGUACAUAAGGCCACACUCUGUAUUCUCGGCGAAUACGCAAUGUCGAAAGAGGACAUUAAACCCGUGAUUGUCUAUGAGUCGUCUAUGAGUAGCGUUAGGUGAGCUGCCAUUGCUUGAAAUGGAAAACAAACGUCAAGCUGGUAAAAAGUCCAAAGAUGGUAACUCGCAAGCUACACCUGCGCAACUCGUAAUGUGCGAUGAUACUUACGCAACUCAAAGUGCUUUUAGUGUUGCAUGUACGGAAGGAGGAAAAGCGACCAGCAUUAGUGCAGUACAUGAUGGAAGGUGAAUUCUUUAUUGACGCAUUCUUGGCUAUCACAUUAGCAAAAUUAGCUUUUUGAUAUGAAAUUCUUGAACCAACGUACAAAAGAGCAACAGAUUGCUUGCGGAAGCAAUGUUUGUAAUGACCAGUAUAUUGCAACUAUGUCGUUUGGGUCUUCCCACGAAAGCGAUGACACACGACGACGCGGAAAGGAUCUGUCUGUCUCAGAUCUCUCUUUUGUUCUACACCUCUUAUACAGAAAGUUUGCUUUGAAGGAUGCUGCGACGCGCUCGGUAGAAUGCCUCAGAUAGGCACCGUACUGAAAUCCUGGCUCGAACUGAAAAGAGCUGAUUAAAUUCUUUGAUUUUAAGAUCUUAUUUUAUAAAACUGCAAAAAAUUGUGGUGAAGUGAAAAGAUGGCAAAUUGGCAAAGAAACCAGCAUUAUGGAUUAAACUUGCUUUAAUACAUUGACUGGAUUUACCAGUGUUGGAUCACAUCCACCUUUUGGUAGGCGGGAUCAGUCAUGUUGAGAGCCAUAGCAUUUUCAGAACGAUAUCAUAGAGAAUUUUCUAUAAUACGUGUGGGAAAUAACCAAAAAGUUAACUGAAGUGGAAUGAAGAGCGGAUGGAGCAUGCCAAAAUUGUGACAAGUCAUCAUCACAUGUGUAGUGUCGAAAUGAGUUCAGCUGUUUUUAUUGCGAGCAGACAGUAUUGAUAGUAUGGGUGUCCCCUCCUAAAGGACAAAGCAGCAGAGGCUGGUGGUGGCGACAACAGUAUUGACAGCGACGGCGGUUAUGUAGAAGACGGACUGAUGGUCGAAGAAAUCGGGAAUAAGAUUAUCACAGACACUAUUAAGAUAAGUGGUUUAAAUGUUCUAAAAUUUGAGUUAGUAAAUGCCUUAAUCACUAGUAGUUCGAUAUCUUUCGUGAGAUUUGAGACUUGCGCGCGUUAACAAUAUAUUAUACUUAGAGUUAAUCUACGUGUCAAGAGUUGAGAAGAUUGAACAGAGAUGUUCUUAACGUAUUAGGUAUAGUGAUCCUGAAUUUAUCGCUUGAAUCGUUAGGCAAAGAAAGUCUUACAAUCGAUUUUUUUGUCUUACAAAAUGCAAAUUUCGGUGCCGAUAUAAUUUUGGGACGCAAAUUCUUGCGUAAGGAAAAGUUUAUUCUAGUGUACAGUUCGUCUUAUGAAAACGAUAAAACCAACUUAUUUGAAUCUCUGUCAUAUGUAGAAGAUCUGGUACAUAACAAAGAUCUCGAGCAAAUAUUAGAGUCAUGCGACAUUGAUUUUGAAUAACAGACAAAAAGAGCGAUUGAAGGACUUGAUUUUAGAAGUCGAUACGCGAGAGAUACAAACAGUCGAGGACAACUAUACGGUUCAAAUUCACUUAAAGUGUCUUAAAGAAUUCUCCGUUUAUGCGUACACGCUCAGGUGAGUCGCAUACAUCGAGAGGCAACAGAUAUGCGGAAUCAUUGACGAGCUCUUAGCACGGGGAAUUAUUAAACCCAGCAUAUCUCCGUAUUAUGCUCGAAUCGUCCCUGUGCGAAAAAAGAACGGGUGAUCUUAAAAGAUUAUAGACUUAAGAUCGUUCAAUAGCCGGAUGCAAAAGCAGAAAUAUCCGCCCCCAGUUAUUGAGGAAUGUCUUUCGAGACUCGGAAAUAAAUCGGUAUUGUUUUUGUUAGAUGUCAAGGACGCUUUUUACCAAAUAAAGGCGCACAGAAGUUUGAUCAAAUAUUUUUUGUUCGCGAUGCCAGACGGUCAAUUCUAGCUUAGCAUCGAUACGUUGUUUCUUAUAUAAAAAAUUAUAUUAUAAAUAACGUUAUACUUCUGUAGAUUAUUUUACAUUAAUUUCAUAUAUAAGUCUUAUGAUUAUUCGAAGCAGCGAGUAGUUGUAGGACAUGCAAUAGAUGCAUUUAGCACGUUGAGCCCUGUUGCUUGUUUCUUGGAAUUUUGUUUCUUUUUAGAAACUUGCAGAUUUACUGAUUCAGAAUCAGCUUCAACUGCUGAAGUUGAUUCUGUUAAAUAACUGUAUCAGGAUUAUUUAACAAGACUUGUUCGUCAUCUUGAAAUGUUAACUCUUUUGUUUUUAUUUUGAAAAAAA
rnacentral:lncRNA from 1 species